GCUACCUACGGGACGCAGCAGUGAGGAAUAUUGGUCAACGGGCGCAAGCCUGAACCAGCCAAGUCGCGUGAGGGAUGACGGUCCUAUGGAUUGUAAACCUCUUUUGUCGGGGAGCAAGGCCCGCCACGUGUGGCGGGAAGGAGAGUACCCGAAGAAAAAGCAUCGGCUAACUCCGUGCCAGCAGCCGCGGUAAUACGGAGGAUGCGAGCGUUAUCCGGAUUUAUUGGGGUUAAAGGGUGCGUAGGCGGAAGGGUAAGUCAGCGGUCAAAUGUCGGUGCUCAACACCGGCCUGCCGGUGAAACUGG
rnacentral:rRNA from 1 species